AACGCGAAGAACCUUACCAGGGCUUGACAUCCUACUAACGAGGCAGAGAUGCGUUAGGUGCCCUUCGGGGAAAGUAGAGACAGGUGGUGCAUGGUUGUCGUCAGCUCGUGUCGUGAGAUGUUGGGUUAAGUCCCGCAACGAGCGCAACCCUUACGGUUAGUUGCUACGCGAGAGCACUCUGGCCGGACUGCCGUUGACAAAACGGAGGAAGGUGGGGACGACGUCAAAUCAUCAUGCCCCUUAUGUCCUGGGCUACACACGUACUACAAUGGCGGCCAACAACGGGCAGCGAAGGCGCGAGCCGGAGCAAAUCCCCAAAAGCCGCCUCAGUUCGGAUUGCAGGCUGCAACCCGCCUGCAUGAAGUUGGAAUUGCUAGUAAUCGCGGAUCAGCAUGCCGCGGUGAAUACGUUCCCGGGUCUUGUACACACCG
rnacentral:rRNA from 1 species